GUCCACGCCGUAAACGAUGGGUGCUAGAUGUGGGGGCCAGUUCACGGCUUCCGUGUCGAAGCUAACGCGUUAAGCACCCCGCCUGGGGACUACGGCCGCAAGGCUAAAACUCAAAGGAAUUGACGGGGGCCCGCACAAGCGGCGGAGCAUGUGGCUUAAUUCGAAGCAACGCGAAGAACCUUACCUGGGCUUGACAUAUCGCUUACAUCCCUAGAGAUAGGGUGGGUUCGUCCGUGCGAUACA
rnacentral:rRNA from 1 species